CUUUAGCUAGGUGUUUCAUCCCUUAGCACCCAGUCGUCCUCAUUCAUCAAGUGGGGAGAGGGGAAGAAUUCCCAAUUAGCAGGGUUGCUAUAUAAACCAAAUAGAUAUGGAAAGCACUGCUCUAGGAGCUGGGACAUAAUGUACAUGGUCAGUGAUGGCUCUAGAGAUGAUGAUGGUGGUGGUGGUGGCAGUUAUGCUGAUAAUGAUGAUGAUGGGGCCAAUUAUGAUGGUGGAGAUGAUGAUGCUGACAUGGAUAAUGGUAGUGAUGAUGCUGAUGGUGACAGUUGUGAUGGAGGUGAUGAUGUUGACCGGGUAACAGUGAUAAUGAUGAUGGUGAUGGUGACAGUUACAGUGAUAAUCAUGGUGACAGUUAUGGUGGUGGAGGUGAUGACACUGAUAAUGGUAGUGAUGAUGCUGACGGUGACAGUUGUGAUGGAGGUGAUGACACUGAUAAUGGUAGUGAUGAUGCGGAUGGUGACAGUUGUGAUGGAGGUGAUGAUGCUGGCAGUGAUAAUGGUGAUGAUGCUGACGGUGACAGUUGUGAUGGAGGUGAUGUUGGCAGUGAUAAUGGUGAUUAUAUGAUGCUCACGGUGACAGUUACAGUGAUGCUGAUGGUGACAGUUGUGAUGGUGGAGAUGAUGAUAAAUGGUAAUAUUAGUGAUGAUGAUGAUGAUGGGGUGGUGGUGAUAAACCAGCAUUUGAGGACCUAGGUUGGGCCCAUCGCUCAGAAGGAUAUAAAACUAGAAGUUUGAGUGAGAACUACUGCUUUCAAGAAUGUUUGGUGAGAUUAAAUUAAAAUUCUUGAAAAACUAUUCAACAGCUUGCUAUUAUUAGCAAUGAGGAUAUUUCACAUUUAGUCAGCAUUCACUUCUAUGCCAGGCAUGGCUCCAAGUAGUUUAUAUAUAUUUCUUUCUUUUUUUUUUUUUUUUUUGGGGCCCCCCCCAAGACAUAUGGAGGUUCCCAGGUUAGGGGUCGAAUUGGAGCUACAGCUGUCCGCCUACACCACAGCCACAGCAGUGCCAGAUCUGAGCCAUGUCUGUGACUUAGACCACAGCUCACAGCAAUGCUGGAUCCUUAACCCGCACUGAGCAAGGCCAGGGAUCGAACCUGCAUCCUCAUGGAUGCUAGUCAGGUACAUUACCACUGAGCCA
rnacentral:lncRNA from 1 species